UCUCUCGUGACAGUUUUCACUGCAGCAAUAUCCUUUGCCAUCUCUCUCUCAUCACACUCUCCGUCGCAUGCUCCAUCUCGCUCUCUCCGUCGCUUACAUGUUAGAGAUGUGCACCACCGAGUUAAGGAAGGGAAGUAAAUCUUACAUAUUCGAAAUGUGUGAGCUUAAAAAUGCAUGUUAUCUUCCCAAUCUCUAUCCACCUGACCCGACCAUAGCAUUCACCAUCUGUCUCUACAAAACUGGAGCAAAAAACUUGAUGACUGAGCAUGCAAACAGAGUUCAAAGUUUAUGCUUACUAUUGCGCCAUCACAGCUUGUAGCUAAAACCAAAUGAAACAAAACACAUAAAAGUACCAGACAAUCAGCUUUCUUUAUAUGAGAAAAACGCUGCCUUCAAUACGCACUACUCACAGACCUACCAAAGGUUUCUCAGCUGGACAAGCAACGAAACCAGCAAAUCUGUUUUGCUGUGACCGAACCAAUAUCAAUAUAGGCAAUUAUAAAAAGUUAAAUCUGGAGCAGAAGUAAUGGC
rnacentral:lncRNA from 1 species